rnacentral:rRNA from 1 species
AGUGAACGCUGGCGGUAGGCCUAACACAUGCAAGUCGAACGGCAGCACAGUAAGAGCUUGCUCUUACGGGUGGCGAGUGGCGGACGGGUGAGGAAUACAUCGGAAUCUACUUUUUCGUGGGGGAUAACGUAGGGAAACUUACGCUAAUACCGCAUACGACCUACGGGUGAAAGCAGGGGAUCUUCGGACCUUGCGCGAUUGAAUGAGCCGAUGUCGGAUUAGCUAGUUGGCGGGGUAAAGGCCCACCAAGGCGACGAUCCGUAGCUGGUCUGAGAGGAUGAUCAGACACACUGGAACUGAGACACGGUCCAGACACCUACGGGAGGCAGCAGUGGGGAAUAUUGGACAAUGGGCGCAAGCCUGAUCCAGCCAUACCGCGUGGGUGAAGAAGGACUUAGGGUUGGAAAGCCCUUUUGUUGGGAAAGAAAAGCAGCAGGUUAAUACCCCGCUGUUCUGACGGUACCCAAAGAAUAAGCACCGGCUAACUUCGUG